UAUUACAAUGUUAUUGGAACCUAUCGGUUCCUUAUGGUUGUAGAAUGUUUCAACCUUUAGGCAGGAGUGAAACGAUUCUAUUGGUGCGUUAUCCGCUG
rfam:Lactobacillus dextrinicus DSM 20335 NODE_14, whole genome shotgun sequence.